CUUUAGUACCGGGUUACACCCCAAUUACAUCUCCCACUUAACCCAUUUUCUCAUAACGCAACUUUUUCUCAUAACCCGACUUUUCUCUGUAUGUAACUGACGAUCCCGACCAAAUAACAAACUACAGCAGCCUCGGAAUUUCAGAACUGCUAUCUUUGUUUUUCACAACCCCUGUUUGAUUUGAUCUCUGUUCUUGAACCUGAGUAAUUUCGUGUCUGUUAUUGUUCUCCUUGAAGAAUCAAAUAAACAAUCACCGUAAACAGGAGGGAAGUGGUUUCUUAAGAACAUAAUCUAUUUCGAGAAUCGCGAAGUCUGAGUAUUGGAGAAGUGGCUGAUUAGAGAAACGUUUCUUAAUUGAUCCAGCCAUCCAGGAUUCUCAAGGGUCGACUCAAUCGUCUGGUAUGAGCCAAAUACUUUAAUGAAACAUUAUUUUUUCUCUUCUUUUCAAUUCAGAUCUUAUGAAAAAACAGUGUUUAUAACAAAGCUUUGUGCUUCUGUAUCAAUGUAUGGCUGACUCCGUUUCAGUUUUUGUUGUACAUAUGUGUAUGCAAUGUGAAGAGAAAGCACAUUCUUCAUGCUCAUAUCAUUCCCUUGAUUUAUCUAACGAUGUCUACCUUUCAAGUAAGCUCAUUUACUUCUUUUACCGUGUUAAAGAUGUUGAUUCUGAUUGGUCUAUUUGUUGAUAUUUCUCACAUUCCUUCUUAUUUUGCUCCUAUGUGUUAUCUUUGUUGUCUAUUUUUUGAUAUUUUGUUGGAAUUAUUACUUAGUUUCUUACCACGUUAGAUGAAUUAUAUAUUGGCACCAGUAGAGUUCACCAGCAUCUGAAAAUUCUGAACCGUUAUGGCGUUGAAUUUUGUACACCGAUGACAAGCUACGACACUGCACUUACCAGUUCUGUUGAUAUCCACUGAAGCCCCAAGAGGGAAGUGGUUUCUUCAGAACAUAAUCUAUUUUGAGAAUCGCAAAGUCUCAGGUUUGGACAAGUGGGUAAUUAGAUUAACGUUUCUUAUUCAGUGGUACUAUUGGGCUUGCCCAAAAUGCAGGCUAGGAUCAGGCAUGGAUUCUUGGAUGAGAAGAAGUGGUGCUUCAGAUGCAAAUGGCAGGUCAAGGCAGUGAUACCUAGAAGAUCACAGUUGUGGACCAGCUGUUUUCUUAGCUUUUGGAGAAACUGUCGAGCAGAUCAUCGGAAUGAGAGUUAGGAAGCUUAUGGACAAUUCGGAGGAAAUGGCAAAGGAAAAUGAAGCCGAUAAUGUACCUAAAACACCGAAAAUGUGAACGGUAAAAACAUGCGUAUCCACAUCAAAAUUAAUUUUAAAACUUAUGGUUACAAAAUCUUCGCAAUCAAUAGAAUUUAUGAUGUGGACAUGGACCUGGAAAACCAAUAUAUGCUGCAACAACUAGCACAAGUAAACAAUGACAAGCAAAGAAACAACAAUGUACGUGACAAGGAAAACAGCACAAUCCAGAAGGAGGGACAAUCAUAUUUCCACUAAUUGCAGAUGAAAGAAAUCGAUGACAAAGAAACCAGCAAGAUUGUCAGUAAGGAUACAGAGAGUACAAUCCAGAUGGAAGAACAGCAAGUAAAUGAGACAUCAGCCAAGGAUGCUUCUCCACAAGCACGCACCACCACCAGGCUGUAGCAACAGCCAGGUACAAAAUUAGGCAACACACAAAAUUGAAUAGCGAAUGACGAGGUCCGGUGCAAAAAAAAUCGCAGCAGCAGAGAAGUACAAAAUUGAAUAACAAACGACGAGAUAACUACCCGGUGCGGAGCACGGGUUACUUCCUUACAAAAAGAAGAAGCGAAACGGAAAAUUAAAAAUUAAGUUUUGAUAAAGACUUUCGUUGUAAAAUAAGCCCGUGGUGUUAUUGGACGAAUUAUUGGUGGUGUGAAUAAACAGGAUGAUUUUAUUAGAUGAAUAAUACUCUAGUGGGGCCAAAAUCUGUAAGAAGAGAGCUUUGUUCAGCUUUUAACCACAACAGAGAAAAUUCACCUGAAAUCAUAUUA